AUCAUUUUCAGCCUUUGAUAUAAGAACAAAUGUACUGUCUGUUUUUAUCAGUAUAAUUUAUGAUACGUCAUCUCUUUGAGGAUGAUACAUUAAGUGGAUUUUAGGAGCAGAGAAUUGAAAUAGUGGCUCUGUGUAAUACACAUAUUGAUCUGGCAUUGUAGUAUCUAGUCACAGUGACCCUCAC